UAUAAAACUUUCAACAACGGAUCUCUUGGUUCUGGCAUCGAUGAAGAACGCAGCGAAAUGCGAUAAGUAAUGUGAAUUGCAGACACCGUGAAUCAUCGAAUCUUUGAACGCACAUUGCGCCCUUUGGUAUUCCGAAGGGCAUGCCUGUUCGAGCGUC
rnacentral:rRNA from 1 species